AACGAACGCUGGCGGCAUGCCUAACACAUGCAAGUCGAACGAGACCUUCGGGUCUAGUGGCGCACGGGUGCGUAACGCGUGGGAACCUGCCCUUAGGUUCGGAAUAACUCCCCGAAAGGGGUGCUAAUACCGGAUAAUGUCUUCGGACCAAAGAUUUAUCGCCUUUGGGUGGGCCCGCGUUGGAUUAGCUAGUUGGUAGGGUAAAAGCCGACCAAGGCGACGAUCCAUAGCUGGUCUGAGAGGAUGAUCAGCCACACUGGGACUGAGACACGGCCCAGACUCCUACGGGAGGCAGCAGUGGGGAAUAUUGGACAAUGGGCGAAAGCCUGAUCCAGCAAUGCCGCGUGAGUGAUGAAGGCCUUAGGGUUGUAAAGCUCUUUUACCCGGGAUGAUAAUGACAGUACCGGGAGAAUAAGCUCCGGCUAACUCCGUG
rnacentral:rRNA from 1 species